UACAGCCACAUCACGUUGAAAACAGUUGUUCACGUACGAUCACCGAAAUUAAGCAUCGUUUAGCCUGGUCAGUAGCUAGAUGGGUGGCCGUUUGUGAAUACCAGGCGCUGUAA